GAAAACAAAAUCAGAAAAAGACAAUGAAGAAAAAAUCAAAAACUGUGAGGCACUGGCUACGAAACAGAAUUGUACGGCCCCCUAUAAUUUUAGAUACCACUGUGUUUUAAACUACGAAGACGAUACACUUGUAGAAGUUUGUGCACCUGUGAUUUUCAUAAAGUUUAGAAACUGUGUAGCGUUUAACAAGGCAACAGGAGAAUUGAUGCCUCACUGGAAAAGAAAAUGCGACAAAGCCUCAUUACCCUGCCCAAACAAUUACGAGUCUACACAUUUCUAUCUUUACCCCUCCUGCUAUGAAGUUUAUGAAAAUUUUUCAGCAGAUGAAAAGGAAUAUUUUUUCAAA